AGCGAACGCUGGCGGCAUGCCUAACACAUGCAAGUCGAACGAGACCUUCGGGUCUAGUGGCGCACGGGUGCGUAACGCGUGGGAAUCUGCCCUCUGGUACGGAAUAACUCAGGGAAACUUGAGCUAAUACCGUAUAAUGACUUCGGUCCAAAGAUUUAUCGCCUGAGGAUGAGCCCGCGUCGGAUUAGCUAGUUGGUGAGGUAAAAGCUCACCAGGGCGACGAUCCGUAGCUGGUCUGAGAGGAUGAUCAGCCACACUGGGACUGAGACACGGCCCAGACUCCUACGGGAGGCAGCAGUGGGGAAUAUUGGACAAUGGGCGAAAGCCUGAUCCAGCAAUGCCGCGUGAGUGAUGAAGGCCUUAGGGUUGUAAAGCUCUUUUACCCGGGAUGAUAAUGACAGUACCGGGAAAAUAAGCCUCGGCUAACUCCGUGCCAGCCGCCGCGGUAAAAC
rnacentral:rRNA from 1 species